rnacentral:rRNA from 1 species
UAUUAAUUUUCUUAUAUUAAUUAUUUUUUUUUGUUUUAGAGAAGUAUCUUUUUUUUUAGUAUAAUUAAAGAACAGAAGUUUUAUUAUUAUAGUUUAUUAGUACCGUGAGGGAAUGGAUGAAAUAUAUUGAAAAUUAUAAUUAUUGUAAGUAAAUUUUAUUUAUUGUACCUUUUGUAUCAGGGUUGAUUAAUUAGGUUUAAUUUAUUUUAUUAUCUCGAUUCCAAAAGAGCUAAUAUUUAGAUUUUAGUUGCUGUUUUAUAAGCAUAUUUAAUUUAAUUUUAGUGGAGAAAUUUUAUUCGUUUUUGGAGGUAUCUAGUUUUUUAAGAAAUAAAUUUAAUUUAGAUUUAAUAAUUAAGUAAUUGAUUGAUUAAUUAUUUAUUAGUUAAAAUUAAAAUAUUAGGGGAUAAGCUCUAAUUUUAUUCUAAAAAUUUUAAUUGUUGUUCAGUUUAUGUAGGCUUUAAAGUAGCUAUCAUUUUUGAGUUCGUUGUAGUUCAAAUUGAAAUAAAUGGAUUUUCUUUUUUUUAGUGUUAUUAUUAAAAUGUUAUUUUUAAUUGUAUAAAUUUUGUAAUAAUGAUUAAAUUAGUAUAUCUUUUUGUAUAAAAAUUAUUCUUUUUUAUGAUUAAAUAAGGAAUUCGGCAAAUAUAACACUCGCCUGUUUAUCAAAAACAUGUCCUCUUGAUUUAUUUAUGAGGUCAGGCCUGCCCGGUGAAUAUUAAGUUUUAACGGCCGCGGUAUUUUGACCGUGCAAAGGUAGCAUAAUCAUUAGUCUUUUAAUUGGAGGCUGGAAUGAAGGGCUUGACGAGGUGUUAACUGUCUCAUUUAAUUUGAUAUUAAAAUUUAACUUUUCAGUUAAAAGGCUGAAAUUAUAUUGGAAGACGAGAAGACCCUAUAGAGCUUUAUAAUUAUAAAGUGUAAUUAGUUGUUGUUAAAUUAUUGUUUUUCAUGCUUUUAAUUAUUUUGUUGGGGUGAUAAAAAUACAAAAAUAACUUUUUUAUUUAAAAAUCAUUGAUAUAUGAAUUAUUAGAUCCAAUUUUAUUGAUUGUUAGAUUAAGUUACCUUAGGGAUAACAGCGUAAUCUUCUUUCAGAGUUCAUAUUUACGGGAAGGAUUGCGACCUCGAUGUUGGAUUAAGAUAAUAAUUAGGUGUAGCCGCUUAAUUUAUAGGUCUGUUCGACCUUUAAAUUCUUACAUGAUCUGAGUUCAAACCGGUUUAAGCCAGGUUGGUUUCUAUCUCCAGUUUAGUUGUAGUUUUUAGUACGAAAGGACCCAUACUACAAAAAAUUUUUUGUAUUUUGAAUUUCAUUA